rnacentral:rRNA from 1 species
UACAGAGGUCUCAAGCGUUUGUUCGGAUUCAUUGGGGCGUAAAGGGUGCGUAGGUGGCGCUGUAAGUCGGGUGUGAAAUUUCGGAGCUUAACUCCGAAACUGCAUUCGAUACUGCGGUGCUUGAGGACUGGAGAGGAGACUGGAAUUCAUGGUGUAGCAGUGAAAUGCGUAGAGAUCAUGAGGAAGACCAGUGGCGAAGGCGGGUCUCUGGACAGUUCCUGACACUGGAGGCACGAAGGCCAGGGGAGCAAACGGG